rnacentral:rRNA from 3 species
UUCGGUGGUUUGACGCGAUGGAACUACCUCUUACCAUUCCGAACAGAGAAGUAAAACAUCGUAGUGCCGAUGAUACUCCGCAAGGGGGAAAGUAGGUAACCGCCGGUA